rnacentral:tRNA from 1 species
AGGUAGAAAUUUUAGUUGCUUUGAAAGUAACUGUCACAAGUCUAUUAUGAUUUUAGUGUUUGGUUCUAUUUU